rnacentral:tRNA from 1 species
UCCCCCAUGGUGUAAUAGGCAACACUGCGGUUUUUGGUACCGUCAUUCCAGGUUCGAGUCCUGGUGGGGGAG